rnacentral:rRNA from 1 species
CCUACGGGAGGCAGCAGUGAGGAAUAUUGGUCAAUGGGCGCGAGCCUGAACCAGCCAAGUAGCGUGAAGGAUGACUGCCCUACGGGUUGUAAACUUCUUUUAUAAAGGAAUAAAGUGAGGUACGCGUGCCUUUUUGUAUGUAUUUUAUGAAUAAGGAUCGGCUAACUCCGUGCCAGCAGCCGCGGUAAUACGGAGGAUUCGAGCGUUAUCCGGAUUUAUUGGGUUUAAAGGGAGCGUAGAUGGGUUGUUAAGUCAGAUGUGAAAGUUUGCGGCUCAACUGUAGAAUUGCUAUUGAUACUGGCAGCCUUGAGAACAGUUGAGGUAGGCGGAAUUCGUGGUGUAGCGGUGAAAUGCUUAGAUAUCACAAAGAACUCCGAUUGCGAAGGCAGCCUACUAAGCUGCCCCUGACAUUGAUGCUCGAAAGUGUGGGUAUCAAACGGGAUUAGAUACCCGGGUAGUC